AUUGAACGCUGGCGGCAGGCCUAACACAUGCAAGUCGAGCGGAUGAGAGGAGCUUGCUUCUCGAUUCAGCGGCGGACGGGUGAGUAAUGCCUAGGAAUCUGCCUGGUAGUGGGGGACAACGUUUCGAAAGGAACGCUAAUACCGCAUACGUCCUACGGGAGAAAGCAGGGGACCUUCGGGCCUUGCGCUAUCAGAUGAGCCUAGGUCGGAUUAGCUAGUUGGUGAGGUAAUGGCUCACCAAGGCGACGAUCCGUAACUGGUCUGAGAGGAUGAUCAGUCACACUGGAACUGAGACACGAUCCAGACUCCUACGGGAGGCAGCAGUGGGGAAUAUUGGACAAUGGGCGAAAGCCUGAUCCAGCCAUGCCGCGUGUGUGAAGAAGGUCUUCGGAUUGUAAAGCACUUUAAGUUGGGAGGAAGGGUUGUAGAUUAAUACUCUGCAAUUUUGACGUUACCGACAGGAUAAGCACCGGCUAACUCUGUGCCAGCAGCCGCCGUAACAC
rnacentral:rRNA from 1 species